UACAGAGGUCUCAACCGUUGUUCGGAUUCAUUGGGCGUAAAGGGUGCGUAGGCGGUCGCGUAAGUCAGGUGUGAAAUCUCAGGGCUCAACCCUGAAACUGCACUUGAUACUGCGUGGCUCGGGUACUGGAGAGGAGACUGGAAUUUACGGUGUAGCAGUGAAAUGCGUAGAUAUCGUAAGGAAGACCAGUGGCGAAGGCGAGUCUCUGGACAGCAACUGACGCUGCGGCACGAAGGCCAGGGGAGCAAACGGG
rnacentral:rRNA from 1 species